rnacentral:rRNA from 1 species
AGUGAACGCUAGCGGUAGGCCUAACACAUGCAAGUCGAACGGCAGCACAGUAAGAGCUUGCUCUUACGGGUGGCGAGUGGCGGACGGGUGAGGAAUACAUCGGAAUCUACUUUUUCGUGGGGGAUAACGUAGGGAAACUUACGCUAAUACCGCAUACGACCUACGGGUGAAAGCAGGGGAUCUUCGGACCUUGCGCGAUUGAAUGAGCCGAUGUCGGAUUAGCUAGUUGGCGGGGUAAAGGCCCACCAAGGCGACGAUCCGUAGCUGGUCUGAGAGGAUGAUCGGCCACACUGGAACUGAGACACGGUCCAGACUCCUACGGGAGGCAGCAGUGGGGAAUGUUGGACAAUGGGCGCAAGCCUGAUCCAGCCAUACCGCGUGGGUGAAGAAGGCCUUCGGGUUGUAAAGCCCUUUUGUUGGGAAAGAAAAGCAGCAGGUUAAUACCCCGCUGUUCUGACGGUACCCAAAGAAUAAGCACCGGCUAACUUCGUG